GGUGGAGCUCCAGCUCCAGUUAAUUGAAGCAGGAAGCGCUCUCAGGAUAACUUUCUAUUUUCUUUCAAGGUCAGCACCAAGACACCGAGGAGUUUAUCCUGUUUUCUACCACAGAGAAAAUAAUCCAAGCAGCGGGAAACUCCUAAAAGGUUGGAACCAAAGAAUCAAAGCGGAGCCUCGUUUUUACCAGAGGAAGCAGAGUUUGGACGUUUUCUCCGCGUAUUUCUGGGCGUAAGCAGCUCAAUGAAGGAUGAAAAAAUUUAUAAUUUUCCCUUUGGUUCUGGUGCUGACCGGGGUUCUGUGUUCUCCUGCACAGGGAGGAACUCUGCUCCAAGUAAACAACACUCAGGACGUCUAUCAGAAAGAGGAACACUCCAACGUCACACUGCCACUGUCUGCAUUUAACACAACCUCUGACUUCCUGUACAUUGAGCUGAGGAGAGUGGAGACACGGGGGACUAUUUAUGUGUAUGACAGCAGGUCUCAGCAUGUCCCGUCCGUGGAUGAUCUGUUCAGAGGUCGACUGAAGUGUGAUCCUCAGCUGAACAGGAGCGGACAGAUCAAAUGUGUCCUGACUGACCUGAGGAUCAACGACACAGGAAGUUAUCAGGGAAUCGUUAAAGAUGGUGGACCAGGUUACCUUAAAAAAUGGGAGCUAAAAGUCAAAGGUGAGCUGAAACGACUGAGGCAUAUUAGGCCUGCAAACAUCACCGAUGACCUAUGAUUUAACUAUUAAACAGGAUGUUAUAUUGUUGUUAUUUUCACCUGCUGUUAAAAGACAUCACGUUUAGAAAAUUAUUUUGUUCUUUAAUAUUGAGUGUGCUUUUUGGAACAUAAGCUGAUGCUAGCGGCCACAAAAUACAGUUUCAGUCAAAAUUAAUUAAAGCCAUAGUUGGUAAUCCUGUUCAG